ACAUACAUCCGAUAACCCAUUCUCCGAUCCCUACCCCAUGGUUAUAGAGGGAAGAGCCAUCAGUGUUAAGUUUCUUUCUAUAUGUCUAGCUGGAACUGAACUGUCUUCCAACAGUUGUUCCAUGUCUGGGCUCCUGCAAAAUAUGUAAGGCGAUGUAUGCAUGCUACAGAUUAAGCAUAGUAGAGUUUGCACACUUGUAAAGUUAUUGUCAAGGUCUAUACACCAAGUAAUAAUCUUAUCCUAACCAAUUAAGUUUGUGUGGUACGUCCUAUUCCUGAUAGUGGUGGAGAUGGG
rnacentral:lncRNA from 1 species